GACGAACGCUGGCGGCGUGCUUAACACAUGCAAGUCGAACGGAAAGGCCCUGCUUUUGUGGGGUGCUCGAGUGGCGAACGGGUGAGUAACACGUGAGUAACCUGCCCUUGACUUUGGGAUAACUUCAGGAAACUGGGGCUAAUACCGGAUAGGAGCUCCUGCUGCAUGGUGGGGGUUGGAAAGUUUCGGCGGUUGGGGAUGGACUCGCGGCUUAUCAGCUUGUUGGGGUGGUAGUGGCUUACCAAGGCUUUGACGGGUAGCCGGCCUGAGAGGGUGACCGGCCACAUUGGGACUGAGAUACGGCCCAGACUCCUACGGGAGGCAGCAGUGGGGAAUAUUGCACAAGGGGCGGAAGCCUGAUGCAGCAACGCCGCGUGCGGGAUGACGGCCUUCGGGUUGUAAACCGCUUUCGCCUGUGACGAAGCGUGAGUGACGGUAAUGGGUAAAGAAGCACCGGCUAACUACGUG
rnacentral:rRNA from 1 species